rnacentral:rRNA from 1 species
CAAUAGCGUAUAUUAAAGUUGUUGCAGUUAAAAAGCUCGUAGUUGGAUUUGUGGCGUACGGUGUGUUCCGGGCACUUGUUGUCUGAGUAACCUGCUGUUGCCAUCCUUGGGUGGAACCUGUGUGGCAUUAGGUUGUCGUGCAGGGGAUGCCCAUCAUUUACUGUGAAAAAAUUAGAGUGUUCAAAGCAGGCUUAUGCCGUUGAAUAUAUUAGCAUGGAAUAAUGAGAUAGGACUUUUUUGCUAUUUUGAUGGUUUGCGCAAAGAGGUAAUGAUUAAUAGGGACAGUUGGGGGUAUUCGUAUUCCAUUGUCAGAGGUGAAAUUCUUGGAUUUUUGGAAGACGAACUACUGCGAAAGCAUUUACCAAGGAUGUUUUCAUUAA